GGCCCGGCUGCUCCUGGCCCCGGCUCUAGGGGCGGAAGGUCGUGUCGCGGGCCAUCCGGCUGGAAGAAGGCUCCGAGCUUGGGGAUCCAGGCCCCGCCCGAGAUGCGGACUCAGAGGCCAUAUGCCCAGACUUCUCCCAGGCUGCCCACAUAGAAAACGGAGAGACGGAACUGGAAGGCUGUGUGUUUUUCCACUCUGUGCCCGUGCCAAGUGGAGUAGCUAGAACCAGAGGGAAGAGACUCUCUUCCUGUCAACAGGCUGGAACCCAGUGGCUGGUGCACGUUGAAAUCUCAGCUACUGAGGAGGCUUGAGGCAAGAGAAACAUGAGUUCCAGGUCAGCCUGGCAAAUUUAGGAGAGAGAGCCUGUCUCAAAAUAAAAAGGACGAGGAGGAGGGUAGAAGCUGGACAUGGUUCACACCUGUAAUCCUAGCGCUUUCAAACCAGAAGCAAGAGGA